GACGAACGCUGGCGGCGUGCCUAAUACAUGCAAGUAGGACGCAGUUGCGAACGGGUGAGUAACGCGUAGGUAACUACCUAUUAGAGGGGGAUAACUACUGGAAACGGUGGCUAAUACCGCAUACUAUCGGAUGAACCCAUAUGGGCUUAGCUAGUGGGUGGGGUAAAGGCUCACCUAGGCGACGAUCUCUAGCUGGUCUGAGCGGAUGAUAAGCCAAACUGGGACUGAGACACGGCCCAGACUCCUACGGGAGGCAGCAGUAGGGAAUCUGCGGCAAUGGGGGGAACCCUGACCGAGCAACGCCGCGUGAGUGAAGAAGGUUUUCGGAUCGUAAAGCUCUGUUGUUAAGGAAGCGGUACUUAACCAGAAAGGGACGGCUAACUACGUGCCAGCAGCCGCGGUAAUUC
rnacentral:rRNA from 1 species